CAGCAGCCACGGUAAUACGUAGGGUGCAAGCGUUGUCCGGAAUCAUUGGGCGUAAAGCGCGCGUAGGUGGCCAUUUAAGUCCGCUGUGAAAGUCAAAGGCUCAACCUUUGAAAGCCGGUGGAUACUGGAUGGCUAGAGUACGGAAGAGGCGAGUGGAAUUCCUGGUGUAGCGGUGGAAUGCGCAGAUAUCAGGAGGAACACCAAUAGCGAAGGCAGCUCGCUGGGACGUUACUGACACUGAGGCGCGAAAGCGUGGGGAGCGAACAGGAUUAGAUACCCCCGUAGUCCCUGUCUCUUAUAC
rnacentral:rRNA from 1 species